AUUGAACGCUGGCGGCAUGCCUUACACAUGCAAGUCGAACGGUAACAGGUCUUCGGAUGCUGACGAGUGGCGAACGGGUGAGUAAUACAUCGGAACGUGCCCGAUCGUGGGGGAUAACGGAGCGAAAGCUUUGCUAAUACCGCAUACGAUCUACGGAUGAAAGCAGGGGAUCGCAAGACCUUGCGCUGAUUGAGCGGCCGAUGUCAGAUUAGCUAGUUGGUGAGGUAAAGGCUCACCAAGGCGACGAUCUGUAGCGGGUCUGAGAGGAUGAUCCGCCACACUGGAACUGAGACACGGUCCAGACUCCUACGGGAGGCAGCAGUGGGGAAUUUUGGACAAUGGGCGAAAGCCUGAUCCAGCAAUGCCGCGUGCAGGAAGAAGGCCUUCGGGUUGUAAACUGCUUUUGUACGGAACGAAACGGUCCUUUUUAAUACAGGGGGCUAAUGACGGUACCGUAAGAAUAAGCACCGGCUAACUACGUG
rnacentral:rRNA from 1 species